AUGAAGAGCUGCCCAAGUGCGUCCCCUUCCGAGCACAUACUGUUCUCUGCGCGGGACGCAAACCUGCCGCACAGAGGGGCUCGUAGGGACAAGGAGCUAAAGGAACAGAACAUUGGAACCAGAAAAAUGCCCCCUCGGAGAGGCAGCCUACCCGGUUCUGCAGAAACCUGUGCUUUCUGCAAGCAACUCCAAUCUGGUAAAUGUAAGUUUUGCACCUAGGUGUAGGCUUCAUUCUCCGAAUUUUCCCUUAUUAGAGACCUAAGUCAGCUACUUUUGUAGGGCAGUAUUUUUGGGCCCUCAUUCAGGGUCUGGCACUUGGGGCUCAGUAAAUAUGGGGCAGUGAAUGUGGGUGGCUGUCCCUGCCCCCAGCCUUGGCUUUUCACCAUUCUCCCUUUGAGGCAGAUUCAACACAGUACAUUUCUUCAAAACUGAUCUCACAUAGCAAAACUGAAGCUGUCAUGGAGACAGGGAAGUCAAUUUACCCCAUAUGGAAUUUUUUUUUGGUCUUAAAACGCCAAGAUGUAACUGAGUGGCAUUUUUUUUAGAACACAAAAGGUCAUCAAAUUACCUAAAAUCCUUUUUGUCUUUUUAAAAAGAUUUUAUUUAUUCAUUCAUGAGAGACACAGAGAGAGGCAGAGACAUAGGCAGAGGGAGAAGCAGGUUCCUCACAGGGAGCCUGAUGCGGGACUCGAUCCCCAAACCCUGGGAUCAUGCCCUGAGCCAAAGACAGACACUCAACCACUGAGCCACCCAGGGGCCCCUCCAUUUUGUCUUUUUGUGUUUAAAUUUGCAAACCUUUAUAUCUUCUUUUUAUUAAGUUUAAUAUCUUAAUUCCAGUAUAGUUAACAGUGUUCUAUUAGUUUCAGGUGUACAAUAAAUAGGAUGAUUCAACAAUUCUAUCCAUUACUCAGUGCCCAUCAUGAUAACUGUAUUCUUUUAAAAAUGCUUUAUUUUGGUCAUGAGAAACACACAGAGAGAGGCAGAGAUAAAGGAGAAGCAGGCUCCUCACAGGGAUCCCAGGAUCACACCCUGAGUUGAAGGCAGAUGCUCAACCGCUCAGCCACCCAGGUGUCCCAUGGUAAGUGUAUUCUUAAUCCCUAUCACCUAUUUCACCUACCCCCCCCCCCCACCUGCCCUCUGGUCUCCAGAAGGGUGUUCUCUGUAGUUCAGAGUCUGUUUCUUGGUCCCCUCUCUCUUUUAUCUUCCCUUUGCUCAUUUGUUUUGUUUCUUAAAUUCCACAAGUGAGUGAAAUCAAAUGGUAUUUUUGGUUCUCUGACUUAUUUCACUUAGUAUUACACUCAUUAGCAACCAUCCAGGUUGUUGCAAAUGGCAACAUCUUAUUCCUUUUAUGGUUGAGUAAUAUUCCAAUAUACUCCACUUCUUCUUUAUCCAUUCAUGUAUUGAUGGACACCUGGGCUGUGUCCUUAGUUUGGCUAUUGUCGAUUAUGCUGCCAUAAACAUAGAAGUGCAUGUACCCAUCCCUUUG
rnacentral:lncRNA from 1 species